UACGUAGGGGGCAAGCGUUGUCCGGAUUUACUGGGCGUAAAGAGCGUGUAGGCGGCCAAGCAGGUCCGUUGUGAAAACUGGAGGCUUAACCUCCAGACGUCGACGGAAACCGCGUGGCUAGAGUCCGGAAGAGGAGAGUGGAAUUCCUGGUGUAGCGGUGAAAUGCGCAGAUAUCAGGAGGAACACCGGUGGCGAAGGCGGAUCUCUGGGCCUUACCUGACGCUGAGGCGCGAAAGCUAGGGGAGCGAACGGG
rnacentral:rRNA from 1 species